rnacentral:rRNA from 1 species
UACGAAGGGGGCUAGCGUUGCUCGGAAUGACUGGGCGUAAAGGGCGCGUAGGCGGCUCAUACAGUCAGAUGUGAAAUUCCUGGGCUUAACCUGGGGGCUGCAUUUGAUACGUGUGGGCUUGAGUGGGGAAGAGGGUCGUGGAAUUCCCAGUGUAGAGGUGAAAUUCGUAGAUAUUGGGAAGAACACCGGUGGCGAAGGCGGCGACCUGGUCCUUGACUGACGCUGAGGCGCGAAAGCGUGGGGAGCAAACAGG